AUUGAACGCUGGCGGCAGGCCUAACACAUGCAAGUCGAACGGUAACAGGAAGAAGCUUGCUUCUUUGCUGACGAGUGGCGGACGGGUGAGUAAUGUCUGGGAAACUGCCUGAUGGAGGGGGAUAACUACUGGAAACGGUAGCUACUACCGCAUAACGUCGCAAGACCAAAAAGGGGGACCUUCGGGCCUCUUGCCAUCGGAUGUGCCCAGAUGGGAUUAGCUAGUUGGUGGGGUAACGGCUCACCUAGGCGACGAUCCCUAGCUGGUCUGAGAGGAUGAGCAGCCACACUGGAACUGAGACACGGUCCAGACGCCUACGGGAGGCAGCAGUGGGGAAUAGUGCACAAUGGGCGCAAGCCUGAUGCAGCCAUGCCGCGUGUAUGAAGAAGGCCUUCGGGUUGUAAAGUACUUUCAGCGGGGAGGAAGGGAGUAAAGUUAAUACCUUUGCUCAUUGAUGUUACCCGCAGAAGAAGCACCGGCUAACUCCGUG
rnacentral:rRNA from 1 species